rnacentral:misc_RNA from 1 species
AAGUCGUAACAAGGUCUCCGUAGGUGAACCUGCGGAGGGAUCAUUACCGAGUGAGGGCCCCCGGCCCGACCUCCAACCCUUUGUCAUCAAAACCACUGUUGCCUCGGGGGCGACUCGGGCCCGUCGGCCCAGGGCCCCCGGUGGACAAUUUCAAAACACUGCAUCUUUGCGUCGGAUUACAAAAGUUUAAUUGAUUAAAA